AAAAGAAAUAGGAUAUGUAAAUGUGAUCAAAAUAAGAAAAAGAAAUGAAUUGCCUUGCAUGAAAUGACCGUAUCAGAAAGGAAACUUUGGGAUUGCUUAAUCACAGAUAAAAUAAAUAUGUAAAGCAACAUAAGUUAUGAAACCAUCAUAGGUGGUUUUUUACCUCUGUCAUUCCUAUAAAAGAAAGGGAAGCAUGCAACCACAGAUGAAGGAUUCCUAGAAAAGUUAAGGAUUAGAAUCCUUUUUACAUAUCAAGUGGAUUCAGUCUUAUAUAUACAUGAGAAAGGUAAUUGAAAAGUCUCAGCAGUUUUCUGCUCCACAUAAGCCGCCCUUUGUUUACCGAGGGCCUGGUAACUGGUGCACCAAAGGUGCAUCCUUCCUUUUUUGAUCAGUAAAACCUGUUUUUCAUGUAUAACUAUAGAUCGAAAAACCACUUGUACUUCACAAGGAGGGGGAACCAUAACCCGAAGAAUGGGACUGACAUAGUUCUUGAACGGCAAUACGCCAAAGAGAGAAAAGAAGAAAGGCACCAAUGUAAAAGCAAUCUAAAAAAUAUAAAUAUGGAGAACCUUGCAAAAAAUUAACAGCAACAAUAUUAACAAACUCAGGCACCAUAAGAUUGAACCCCGGCAACUGCCAAUAAGACUUAAUCAACCUUUCACCAUGUUCAUCCAGUCAUUCUACCAGCAUCCUAGAUAGAACAAUAAAAGCUCUGAAAAGUGGGUCAUAAUAAUCUUACUUGGCUCCUAUGACCUUUGGUGUAUCAAAAGCAGCAAAAACUCCAAAACCUGACAAUUUGUAUGCUCUUUUACAUGAGUUCUGGUAUUGGUUUUAGAAGCAAGUGUGCAUCUAGAAAUUGUAUCCAAUAUACU